AACGCACCUUGCGCUCCUUGGUAUUCCGAGGAGCAUGCCUGUUUGAGUGUCAUGUUAAUAUCAAUCUCUUCGCCUUUUGUGGGUGUUGAGCUUGGAAUUGGAGGCUUUGCUGGCUUUGCGGUCGGCUCCUCUAGAAUGUAUUAGCUGGGCUUUUGCUCGAUGCAACGGUGUGAUAGUAUUAUUCGCCGGAGUAACUUGCGAUAUGGGUCUGCUUCUAAUCGUCUUCGGACAAAUAUGGGGUGUUUACACGCUCCUUUGACUUUUGACCUCAAAUCAGGUAGGACUACCCGCUGAACUUAA
rnacentral:misc_RNA from 1 species